AUUGAACGCUGGCGGCAUGCUUUACACAUGCAAGUCGAACGGUAACAGGGAGCUUGCUCCGCUGACGAGUGGCGAACGGGUGAGUAAUGCAUCGGAACAUGCCCAGUCAUGGGGGAUAACUACGCGAAAGCGUAGCUAAUACCGCAUACGCCCUGAGGGGGGAAAGUGGGGGAUUUUAGGACCUCACGUGAUUGGAGUGGCCGAUGUCAGAUUAGCUAGUUGGUGAGGUAAAGGCUCACCAAGGCGACGAUUUGUAGCGGGUCUGAGAGGAUGAUCCGCCACACUGGGACUGAGACACGGCCCAGACUCCUACGGGAGGCAGCAGUGGGGAAUUUUGGACAAUGGGCGCAAGCCUGAUCCAGCCAUGCCGCGUGAGUGAAGAAGGCCUCGGUGUAAG
rnacentral:rRNA from 1 species